GUAUGUGCCGCAACGAUAGCGUCAGCCUGGGAGCGCAGCCGAAGCGUGCGGCCCCAAGGAGCCCGGCCCUCUUAGGAGAUGCCAACUAAGAGACAACGGCCUGGUAACGGCUGGAACUUCCCAGAUGGCGAGGUGGCCUUCUUUCACACCUGAUGCAGAUUUGCAUCCCCGGACAGCCGAGAGACGCAGAUCGAUUAUAUCUGUGGCGGAGCGCUCCAUACCAGGUGGUAAAGCCGGAUCUUAGCAGUCAGUGUCGAGUGAGCGAGGCGGUCCACUUGCAUUACGCCGAACCCCCUCGCAGAACGGCCGACGGACCCGGCUCGCCGCCCUCGUGACCCCUCUGCAAGUAUGGCAAAGCUCUGC